ACAGCUGAAUCAGGUGCACCUCCUGCCAACAGCUUGCCUACCCGGCGGUGCAGGACAGCUGAAUCAGGUGCACCUCCUGCCAACAGCUUGCCUACCCGGCGGUGCAGGACAGCUGAAUCAGGUGCACCUCCUGCCAACAGCUAGCCUACCCGGCGGUGCAGGACAGCUGAAUCAGGUGCACCUCCUGCCAACAGCUUGCCUACCCGGCGGUGCAGGACAGCUGAAUCAGGUGCACCUCCUGCCAACAGCUUGCCUACCCGGCGGUGCAGGACAGCUGAAUCAGGUGCACCUCCUGCCAACAGCUUGCCUACCCGGCGGUGCAGGACAGCUGAAUCAGGUGCACCUCCUGCCAACAGCUUGCCUACCCGGCGGUGCAGGACAGCUGAAUCAGGUGCACCUCCUGCCAACAGCUUGCCUACCCGGCGGUGCAGGACAGCUGAAUCAGGUGCACCUCCUGCCAACAGCUUGCCUACCCGGCGGUGCA